rnacentral:lncRNA from 1 species
AUGAGCUGGAAAGGAAACAGACAACUACAACAAAAUGGCUCAAAAUCCAACCUUUCUAACCUGAAGAAUGGUUCCUUCCCUCUCAGUCACACAACCCCGCAACCCAGUGGCUGCACAAAAGGAGGGACAUUUUCUAAUUGCUCAGUGCCGCUCUGUACUUUGACGCUGAAAAUGUUGAUUUGCUUUUUGGAAGUCAGUUUAAAUGGCGCCCCCUUUCGACAGGAAAACUUGCCACAUUUUAAGCAGCUGGCUCCUGAUUCUCGUGGAUGCCACCUGAGAGGAGCGCCGUCUUUCGAACACUCAGAAUUUAGUUGUGUAUGGAAGGAUGCCGAAUGUGUGGCAGAGGUAUGUGUUUGGCAGAGGAGAGAUCUCUGCAUUGUCUUCAAGGAAGAAGGACUAACUAACCCUUGGUAAGGAGGAUUGGGCUACUUCUAAAAAGCUGAAAGGAUCUUGGGAAGUCUGGAGAUUUAGAUGUUCUAAUGUAUCCCUUGGAGAAGAAAAUGGCAGCCCACUCCAGUAUUCUUGCCUGGGAAGUCCCAUAGACUGAAGAGCCUGGCAGGCUACAGUCCAUGGGGUCGCAGAGUCAGACACGACUUAGCGACUCAACAGCAACAACAAUGCAUCCCACCAGAUGUCUCCAUCCAAUGUCUCAAUAUUCUGUUCUUUUCCAAUUGAGGCCAUGACCUAGGCACAGAAGAUAAUCUGGUUUG